CUGGCUCAGGACGAACGCUGGCGGCGUGCUUAACACAUGCAAGUCGAACGGUAAGGCUCCAGCUUGCUGGGGUACACGAGUGGCGAACGGGUGAGUAACACGUGGGUGACCUGCCCUGCACUUCGGGAUAAGCCUGGGAAACUGGGUCUAAUACCGGAUAGGACCGCACCGUGAGGGUGUGGUGGAAAGUUUUUUCGGUGUGGGAUGGGCCCGCGGCCUAUCAGCUUGUUGGUGGGGUAAUGGCCUACCAAGGCGGCGACGGGUAGCCGGCCUGAGAGGGUGGACGGCCACAUUGGGACUGAGACACGGCCCAGACUCCUACGGGAGGCAGCAGUGGGGAAUAUUGCACAAUGGGCGGAAGCCUGAUGCAGCGACGCCGCGUGGGGGAUGACGGCCUUCGGGUUGUAAACUCCUUUCACCAUCGACGAAGGGUUUCUGACGGUAGAUGGAGAAGAAGCACCGGCUAACUACGUGCCAGCAGCCGCGGUAAUACGUAGGGUGCGAGCGUUGUCCGGAAUUACUGGGCGUAAAGAGCUCGUAGGUGGUUUGUCGCGUCGUCUGUGAAAUUCCGGGGCUUAACUCCGGGCGUGCAGGCGAUACGGGCAUAACUUGAGUACUGUAGGGGAGACUGGAAUUCCUGGUGUAGCGGUGAAAUGCGCAGAUAUCAGGAGGAACACCGGUGGCGAAGGCGGGUCUCUGGGCAGUAACUGACGCUGAGGAGCGAAAGCAUGGGGAGCGAACAGGAUUAGAUACCCUGGUAGUCCAUGCCGUAAACGGUGGGCGCUAGGUGUGGGUUUCCUUCCACGGGAUCCGUGCCGUAGCUAACGCAUUAAGCGCCCCGCCUGGGGAGUACGGCCGCAAGGCUAAAACUCAAAGGAAUUGACGGGGGCCCGCACAAGCGGCGGAGCAUGUGGAUUAAUUCGAUGCAACGCGAAGAACCUUACCUGGGCUUGACAUAUACAAGAUCGCGCCAGAGAUGGUGUUUCCCUUGUGGCUUGUAUACAGGUGGUGCAUGGUUGUCGUCAGCUCGUGUCGUGAGAUGUUGGGUUAAGUCCCGCAACGAGCGCAACCCUUGUCUUAUGUUGCCAGCACGUUGUGGUGGGGACUCGUAAGAAACUGCCGGGGUUAACUCGGAGGAAGGUGGGGAUGACGUCAAAUCAUCAUGCCCCUUAUGUCCAGGGCUUCACACAUGCUACAAUGGUCGGUACAGUGGGUUGCCAGUCCGUGAGGGCGAGCUAAUCCCGCAAAGCCGGUCUCAGUUCGGAUCGGGGUCUGCAACUCGACCCCGUGAAGUCGGAGUCGCUAGUAAUCGCAGAUCAGCAACGCUGCGGUGAAUACGUUCCCGGGCCUUGUACACACCGCCCGUCACGUCAUGAAAGUCGGUAACACCCGAAGCCAGUGGCCUAACACAUUUUGUGGGGGAGCUGUCGAAGGUGGGAUUGGCGAUUGGGACGAAGUCGU
rnacentral:rRNA from 1 species